AUUGUUCUGCUGGGGCACAUGAUAAUAAAAUAGUAGAAAUCAAAUGCAUAAACUACAAAAUAUAACACUGGAGAAUAAUUUAUCUGAUCUCGUAAUAGCUGGGGAAAGGCCACCAUGGACACUGAAGAUUUUGUUCUUGGUAAGUGCAGACAAACCUCCCAAGAAGAAGUUAGGGCAGUGCCAGGUAGGGACGCACCCCUUUCACUUUCUUGUUUGUGUCAUGGGAAAUAUGCAAGCACAGCCAGAAUACUUGACUACUUGUGGCAGGCGACCCUGCCUUGAGUUGUUUCCCGCAAAAAAAAAACAGCAGUCAGUAACACUACACGCUAUUUUUUCGAAAAGGGGGAUCGCCCCGGCCUCUGCAUCAGAGUGAUGCAUACGGCCAUCUUAUUAACGAAAUAAAAGGUUCCAACAAGGUUCCAAAGUCUCCGACUGAAAAGUAUUAAAAAGACAACUCACACAGAGCUAAAGAGGCUAGAAACACAGACUAGCCAAGAUAAGACGCCACAACCGGCUGGCUAAAGAUAGAUAGGUAAACUAAUUGCCUAUCCUAUUACAUGACCGCCAUCCAAACCGGUUGAAGAUAUCCCGAGCUACCAUCUCCCAGCGGAUAGAUCCAGUAACCAAAUGCUCCCUGGCCUCCAUCGGAGUGAGUAGCGACCAUGAACGGAUCACGGCCGUGGCUCAGAAAAUAACCUGCAAAAAGUGAAUACGUGAUGUUCUGUUAAAAACCAAAUCAUUUCUGCAAGUCCAGAUAGUCCACAACAAAGCGCAAACUCCAACACGAAUAUGUCUCGCUAAGUCGGGCUCAAUCCCAGUGAGCCAUGUCCCAAAUAACGUAGUGACAGAAUUCGGUGGAGUAAUAUUAAAGGCAAUGUGAACCGUCCGCCAAAGGACUCUGGCAAACGGGCAAUCAAGAAAGAGAUGUUUGAUCGUCUCGUCCCGAUCACAGAAGCUACACCUCGUAGGUCCUGUCCAAUUACGCUUAAUCAAGUUAUCCUUGGUUAAAAUAACCUGUUUAUGGACAAACCACAUAAACACUUUUAUUUUCAAAGGAACUUUGACAGCCCAAACAUGCUUGGAGGUAGGAAUGGAGCUCGAAUUAAUUACAUCAAUAUACAUUGAUUUAACCGUGAAUACUCCAGACCUAGUCAGUUUCCAGCGUAAUUCAUCGGGUUGUUGAGAAAGAUGUACAUCCAUUAGUCUCCGAACUAGAAGGAGCCAAUCUUCCCAACGANNNNNNNNNNNNNNNNNNNNNNNNNNNNNNNNNNNNNNNNNNNNNNNNNNNNNNNNNNNNNNNNNNNNNNNNNNNNNNNNNNNNNNNNNNNNNNNNNNNNNNNNNNNNNNNNNNNNNNNNNNNNNNNNNNNNNNNNNNNNNNNNNNNNNNNNNGGUUUAGGCUUGAACAAAUGCGGAAUAAACCUAGCGGUUAAUUUGACAAGCACAAAACCUACAACAACUAGGCUCACCUAUGUGCACCAACAACUUAUGCUAAGCAAGAUAAACAACUAAGUGAUAGCAAGAUAUAUGACAAGAAACAAUAUGGCUAUCACAAAGUAAAGUGCAUAAGUAAAGGGUUCGGGUAAGAGAUAACCGAGACACGCGGAGACGACGAUGUAUCCCAAAGUUCACACCCUUGCGGAUGCUAAUCUCCGUUUGGAGCGGUGUGGAGGCACAAUGCUCCCCAAGAAGCCACUAGGGCCACCGUAAUCUCCUCACGCCCUCUCACAAUGCAAGAUGCCGUGAUUCCACUAAGGGACCCUUGAGGGCGGUCACCGAACCCGUACAAAUGGCAACCCUUGGGGGCGCUCACCGAACCCGUACACUUUGGCAACCCUUGGGGGCGGUCACCGGAACCCGUCAAAUUGCUCGGGGCGAUCUCCACAACCUAAUUGGAGACCCCGACGCUUGCCCGGAGCUUUACACCACAAUGAUUGAGCUCCGAACACCACCAACCGUCUAGGGCGCCCAAGCACCCAAGAGGAACAAGCUCAAGGGCACCAAGCACCCAAGAGUAAUAAGCUUCUCAACUUGUAACUUCCACGUAUCACUGUGGAGAACUCAAACCGAUGCACCAAAUGCAAUGGCAAGGGCACACGGAGUGCCCAAGUCCUUCUCUCUCAAAUCCCACCGAAGCAACUAAUGCUAGGGAGGAAAAUGAGAGGAAGAACAAGAAGGAGAACACCAAGAACUCCAAGAUCUAGAUCCAAGGGGUUCCCCUCACAAAGAGGAGAAAGUGAUUGGUGGAAAUGUGGAUCUAGAUCUCCUCUCUCUUUUCCCUCAAAACUAGCAAGAAUCCAUGGAGGGAUUGAGAGUUAGCAAGCUCGAAGAAGGUCAACAAUGGGGGAAGAACACGAGCUCAAUGGAUAAGGUUCAUUGGGGAAGAAAACCCCCUUUUAUAGAAGGAGAAAAAUCCAACCGUUAUGUGCUCAGCCCGCACACGAGCGGUACUACCGCUCCACGAGCGGUACUACCGCUCUGGCGGAAGAAGCAGGGAAAAGGAGCAACCAAACAUGAACCUUGGGGCGGUAGUACCGCUUAUAAGCGGUACUACCGCGCACCCCAGCGGUACUACCGCUGGAGGAGCAGAACACGGGACCAAAAAUGCAGUAGCGGUACUACCGCCCGACCGGAGCGGUACUACCGCUUACAGGCGGUACUACCGCAGAACUGUCGUGCCUUACUGCCGUGCAACUACUGCAAAACUCGACACGAAAAAUGCAAGACCCAGAAUCGAGGCGGUACCAGCGCGGAACCGUAGUCGUACUACCGCUUAUGGCCAUAGGCGGUACUACCGCUUUGGACAGCGGUACUACCGCUUGGGGCGAUAAGCGGUACUGCCGCUCUGGCCGCGGUACUACCGCAGGGAGAAAACCAGAACUGCCAUAACUUCUUCAUAUGAGCUUCGAAUUGAGAAAACUCAAGCUUGUUGGAUACAAGACGAUGAGUAGCAUCAAAACAGCGGCAAGAAGAGGCAAGGAAGGUAUGCCAACAAAUAGAGGAGUGAAACCUCCAACCGAGAAGAACCGGCAUAACCUCCAACAUCGAAAACAUCAUAGAAGAUGCGAGUGAACUCCGUUUUCGAUGAACUCGAGCUUGUCAUCAAGAUGACCAUAAGCUGCAAAACUCACAAAGAGAAGAACCAAACAAGAACCAACAAAGAUGAUGCAAGGAUGCAAUGGUUUGAGCUCUCUAUGAACGAUACGAUCAAGCUACUCAUCGAGAGCCCCCCUUGAUAGUACGGCAAUCGAUCCUAUAACCCGGUCUCCCAACUACCAUCAUGAGACCGGUAAAAUAGAAAACCUAUCAAGAGCAAACCUUUGCCUUGCACAUGGUCCACUUGAGUUAGAUGAUGACGAUCUUGACUCCCUCAAGUUGGACCACCUUUCUUGGUUGUGUUGGCUCGAUGAAGACUAGUUGAUUGCUCCCCCAUACUCCACUAUGGGUGAGCCACUCUUCCGCACAUCUUCACAAGUCCAUUGUCACCACAAUGGACGGCAAACUUCAAGCAUUUGAUCUCUUCAUGAUGCUUCACUUGAACUUGCACACCGCAACAUCUUCACAAGUCCAUUGUCGCCACAAUGGACGGCAAGCUUCAAGCAUUUGAUCUCUUCAUGAUGCUUCACUUGAACUUGCACACCGCAACCUAACCCCACAAAGAACUCUCACGAAGAUCAUGGGUUAGUACACAAAGCGUAAUUGACAAUGCUUACCACACCAUGGGAUCGCUUGAUCCCUCUCGGUACAUCUUGUGCGCUUUGUGUGUUGAUCAACUUGAUUCACUCUUGACUUAGUCUCGAUCAACCUUGACUCUUUCCAACUCUCUUCAGUUGGAUGAUGUCUUGAAGGUAAACAUGAAUGAUCACACAAUCUUCUUCUUCAAGACAUGCUUGCAAUAAGCUCUACUCUCACAUGACCAAUCUUUGGAUAAUUCCUUCAUAACACCUUGGUCACCACAUAAACUCCUUGAAACCAACACAUGGACUUCAAGAAAUGCCUAUGGACAAAUCCUUCAAAUAUAACUCAAGGCAACCAUUAGUCCAUAGAGAUUGUCAUCAAUUACCAAAACCAAACAUGGGGGCACCGCAUGUUCUUUCACAAGUAUCCUCCCAGAAGCGUGUACUAGCGCCGUUGCCAAUAACAACCUUUGUCCUAUUAAACAGAGAUUGUUUGACUUUCAUCAGUCCUUUCCAGAAAGGCGAGUCAGUUGGCCUGACUGUGACCUGGGACAAGGAUUUUGUCUGUAGGUACUUGCUGCGAAGGAUUUGGGCCCACAUGGCAUCAGUCUCAAAAGAAAGCUUCCACAGCCACUUACUAAGAAGGCAUCUGUUCUUAACUUCAAGAUUUUCAAUACCAAGAUCCCCUUGGUCUUUCGGUCUACAGAUGAUAUCCCAUUUUGCAAGUCUGUAUUUUCUUUUUAGAUCAUCACCCUGCCAAAAGAAAUGCGAUCGAUAAAAGUUCAGUCUUUUCCUAACACCAACUGGGACUUGAAAGAACGAUAAGAGAAACAUAGGCAUACUCGUGAGCACCGAAUUAAUCAAAAUUAAUCGGCCUCCGUAUGACAUGAGCUUGCCCUUCCAGCAACUCAGUUUCUUCUCAAACCGGUCUUCGAUGCACUUCCAUUCUCUAUUAGUCAGCUUUCGAUGGUGGAUUGGAAUACCUAGGUAAGAGAAAGGUAAAUCCCCCAAGUCGCACCCAAACAAUUGCCUAUAAGCCUCCUGUUCGUCUUUGGCUCUACCAAAGCAGAACAACUCGCUCUUAUGAAAGUUAAUCUUUAACCCGGUCAAUUGUUCGAAAAGUCAUAACACCAGCUUCAUAUUUCUCGCCUUGGCCAAGUCAUGCUCCAUAAAGAUCAUUGUAUCAUCAGCGUACUGAAGGAUGGAUACACCUCCAUCAACCAGAUGAGGUACCAAGCCACCUACUUGACCAUUCUCCUUAGCCCUUCCUAUCAAGAUGGCUAACAUAUCAACCACAAUGUUAAACAGGAUAGGGGACAUCGGAUCUCCUUGUCUUAGGCCUUUAUGUGCCCGGAAGUAAUGACCAAUAUCGUCAUUCACUUUAAUUCCCACACUCCCUUUUUGCGGAAAUGAUUCAACCUGGCGGCGCCAGGCUUCAUCAAAACCUUUCAUACGCAAUGCCUGUUGGAGAAAUGGCCAUUUGACCUUAUCGUACGCUUUCUCGAAAUCCACCUUAAAAAUUACACCAUCUAAUUUCUUGGAAUGGAUUUCAUGGAGCGUUUCAUGAAGGACGACCACCCCUUCAAGGAUGUUUCUGUCCGGCAUGAAAGUAGUUUGGGAUUGCUGCACCACAGAAUGCGCAAUCUGUGUGAGCCUAUUAGUCCCGACCUUGGUGAAGAUUUUAGAACUAACAUUGAGAAGGCAGAUCGGCCUGAACUGCUCAAUUCUCACAGCAUCCGUUUUCUUAGGAAGCAGUGUGAUAGUUCCAAAAUUCAAGUGAAAUAAUUGAAGCUGUCCAGAGAACAGAUCAUGAAACAUAGGUAGCAAAUCCCCCUUAAUAAUAUGCCAGCACUUCUUGUAGAACUCAACCGGAAAUCCAUCCGGUCCGGGAGCCUUAUUAUUUUUCAAUUGUGCUAUAGCAUCAAACACUUCCUUCUCCGAGAACAGGGCAACCAGAAUAUCUUUGUUCUACACGCUAUUUGAGAAUAAGAAGCGCCUCAUGUUGCUAGAGUUACAGUACCUACCCCUAGGUAUUCUUUGUUCAUUUCCUCCCAAAUUAUCUUUUCGUACCGUGUCUCUUCCUCAUUGUGAAGAUACCCGUCAACCUACAAAAUUAAUGGAGAAUUAGAGAUAACAAAUAACAAAUAACCUAUCACAUACAUCAUAUGCCCAGAAGUGAUUAUGCGUCCAAAUACUU
rnacentral:lncRNA from 1 species